rnacentral:ncRNA from 1 species
UAGAACUAUUAUCGUGAAAGGUAGAAUGAUAGAGUAACGUCUUGAAAUGCCUUCUCUGAUACUCCGAAUAGCAUUUAAAUGAGUAAACACUUAGAUGUUAUAAGCUCGGUGAAGUCGACUGAGAGUACACCGUAAGUAUUUAAAGCAUAAUUAAUACACGAAAAGCGAACCAGAGGUGGUCGAGUGCAUGAUAGGUCGGGAGUCUAUAAA